rnacentral:rRNA from 1 species
CCUACGGGUGGCAGCAGUGGGGGAUAUUGCACAAUGGGGGGAACCCUGAUGCAGCGACGCCGCGUGGGUGAAGACGCGCCUCGGCGCGUAAAGCCCUGUCAGCAGGGAAGAAAAUGACGGUACCCGAAGAAGAAGCUCCGGCUAACUACGUGCCAGCAGCCGCGGUAAUACGUAGGGGGCGAGCGUUAUCCGGAUUUACUGGGUGUAAAGGGGGCGCAGGCGGGGAGGCAAGCCAGGAGUGAAAGCCCAGGGCCUAACCUCGGGCCUGCUCUUGAAACUGCGUGGCUGGAGUGAAGGAGAGGCAGGCGGAAUUCCUGGUGUAGCGGUGAAAUGCGUAGAUAUCAGGAGGAACACCGGUGGCGAAGGCGGCCUGCUGGACUUCAACUGACGUUGAGGCCCGAAAGCGUGGGGAGCAAACAGGAUUAGAUACCCGUGUAGUC